rnacentral:rRNA from 1 species
UACGUAGGUGACCAGCGUUGUCCGGAUUUACUGGGCGUAAAGAGCGCGCAGGCGGUCGUUCAAGUCGAGUGUGAAAGCCCCCGGCUCAACUGGGGAGGGUCACUCGAUACUGAUCGACUUGAAGGCAGGAGAGGGAAGCGGAAUUCCCGGUGUAGUGGUGAAAUGCGUAGAUAUCGGGAGGAACACCAGUGGCGAAGGCGGGUCUCUGGGCCGUAACUGACGCUGAGGAGCGAAAGCGUGGGGAGCGAACAGG